rnacentral:rRNA from 1 species
UACGAAGGGUGCAAGCGUUACUCGGAAUUACUGGGCGUAAAGCGUGCGUAGGUGGUUUGUUAAGUCUGCUGUGAAAGCCCCGGGCUCAACCUGGGAAUGGCAGUGGAUACUGGCAAGCUAGAGUGCGGUAGAGGGGUGUGGAAUUCCCGGUGUAGCGGUGAAAUGCGUAGAGAUCGGGAGGAACACCAGUGGCGAAGGCGGCACCCUGGACCGAGAUUGACGCUGAUGCGCGAAAGCCAGGGGAGCAAACGGG